rnacentral:rRNA from 1 species
AACGAACGCUGGCGGCAUGCCUAACACAUGCAAGUCGAACGAGACCUUCGGGGCUAGUGGCGCACGGGUGCGUAACGCGUGGGAACCUGCCCUUAGGUUCGGAAUAACUCCCCGAAAGGGGUGCUAAUACCGGAUAAUGUCUUCGGACCAAAGAUUUAUCGCCUUUGGAUGGGCCCGCGUUGGAUUAGCUAGUUGGUAGGGUAAAAGCCUACCAAGGCGACGAUCCAUAGCUGGGCUGAGAGGAUGAUCAGCCACACUGGGACUGAGACACGGCCCAGACUCCUACGGGAGGCAGCAGUGGGGAAUAUUGGACAAUGGGCGAAAGCCUGAUCCAGCAAUGCCGCGUGAGUGAUGAAGGCCUUAGGGUUGUAAAGCUCUUUUACCAGGGAUGAUAAUGACAGUACCGGGAGAAUAAGCUCCGGCUAACUCCGUG